rnacentral:rRNA from 1 species
UUUGAAUAUAAUUUAAAGUAGGGCCUGCCCACUGAAUUAUUGAAGGGCCGCAGUAUUUUGACUGUGCAAAGGUAGCAUAAUCAUUAGUUUUUUAAUUGAAAACUUGUAUGAAUGGUUUGAUGAGAAAACAGCUUUCUUUAUUUAAAUGUUAAAAAUUUUAUUUUUAAGUUAAAAAGCUUAAAUAUUUUUAAUAGACGAGAAGACCCUAUAGAGUUUUAUUUUUUUAUAUAAUUAAAUCUUUAGAAUUUUAAAAUUUUAUUAUAUGAAAAAAUUUGAUUGGGGUGAUUGAAAAAUUAAAUUAACUUUUAUUUUUAUUAAACAUUAAUUUAUGAAUAGAUGAUCCAUUUAAGUGAUUAAAAGAAUAAAUUACCUUAGGGAUAACAGCGUUAUUUUUUUUUAGAGUUCAAAUCGAAAAAAGAGAUUGCGACCUCGAUGUUGGAUUAAAGUUAAUAUUAGGAGUAGAAGCUUAAUAAUUUGGUCUGUUCGACCAUUAAAACUUUACA